GACGAACGCUGGCGGCGUGCUUAACACAUGCAAGUCGAACGGAAAGGCCCUGCUUUUGUGGGGUGCUCGAGUGGCGAACGGGUGAGUAACACGUGAGUAACCUGCCCUUGACUUUGGGAUAACUUCAGGAAACUGGGGCUAAUACCGGAUAGGAGCUCCUGCUGCAUGGUGGGGGUUGGAAAGUUUCGGCGGUUGGGGAUGGACUCGCGGCUUAUCAGCUUGUUGGUGGGGUAGUGGCUUACCAAGGCUUUGACGGGUAGCCGGCCUGAGAUGGUGACCGGCCACAUUGGGACUGAGAUACGGCCCAGACUCCUACGGGAGGCAGCAGUGGGGAAUAUUGCACAAUGGGCGGAAGCCUGAUGCAGCAACGCCGCGUGCGGGAUGACGGCCUUCGGGUUGUAAACCGCUUCCGCCUGUGACGAAGCGUGAGUGACGGUAAUGGGUAAAGAAGCACCGGCUAACUACGUG
rnacentral:rRNA from 1 species